rnacentral:rRNA from 1 species
GUAGGGAAUCUUCCACAAUGGGCGAAAGCCUGAUGGAGCAACGCCGCGUGAGUGAAGAAGGUUUUCGGAUCGUAAAACUCUGUUGUAAGGGAAGAACAAGUACAGUAGUAACUGGCUGUACCUUGACGGUACCUUAUUAGAAAGCCACGGCUAACUACGUGCCAGCAGCCGCGGUAAUACGUAGGUGGCAAGCGUUGUCCGGAAUUAUUGGGCGUAAAGCGCGCGCAGGCGGUCCUUUAAGUCUGAUGUGAAAGCCCACGGCUCAACCGUGGAGGGUCAUUGGAAACUGGGGGACUUGAGUGCAGAAGAGGAAAGUGGAAUUCCAAGUGUAGCGGUGAAAUGCGUAGAGAUUUGGAGGAACACCAGUGGCGAAGGCGACUUUCUGGUCUGUAACUGACGCUGAGGCGCGAAAGCGUGGGGAGCAAACAGGAUUAGAUACCCUGGUAGUCCACGCCGUAAACGAUGAGUGCUAAGUGUUAGGGGGUUUCCGCCCCUUAGUGCUGCAGCUAACGCAUUAAGCACUCCGCCUGGGGAGUACGGUCGCAAGACUGAA